AUACGUAGGGGGCGAGCGUUGUCCGGAAUGAUUGGGCGUAAAGGGCGCGUAGGCGGCCCGGUAAGUCUGGAGUGAAAGUCCUGUUUUUAAGAUGGGAAUUGCUUUGGAUACUGUCGGGCUUGAGUGCAGGAGAGGUAUGUGGAAUUCCCAGUGUAGCGGUGAAAUGCGUAGAGAUUGGGAGGAACACCAGUGGCGAAGGCGACUUACUGGACUGUAACUGACGCUGAGGCGCGAAAGUGUGGGGAGCAAACAGGAUUAGAUACCCUGGUAGUCCACACUGUAAACGAUGAAUGCUAGGUGUAGGGGGUAUCGACCCCUUCUGUGCCGCAGUCAACACAAUAAGCAUUCCGCCUGGGGAGUACGGCCGCAAGGUUGAAACUCAAAUGAAUUGACGGGG
rnacentral:rRNA from 1 species